GACUACGGGGUAGUAGCCGGGGCACUCUGGACGGGACUGCCAUCGACAAGAUGGAGGAAGGUGGGGAUGACGUCAAGUCAUCAUGGCCCUUAUGUCCAGGGCGACACACGUGCUACAAUGGCCGGCACAACGGGAAGCGAGUUCGCGAGGACGAGCGGAUCCCUCAAAGCCGGUCGCAGUUCGGAUUGAAGUCUGCAACUCGACUUCAUGAAGCUGGAAUCGCUAGUAAUCGUGGAUCAGCCAAGCCGCGGUGAAUACGUUCCCGGGCCUU
rnacentral:rRNA from 1 species